UGGAAUCCAUCAAUAUUAAUCAACCAGCUGGAAUCCACCAGAAGACAAGAGGGGAACAAGAGGAAAAUAAAAAGGAAGAUAAGGAUUAAUACAUUGACAAUACAAAUUAGAUAAAAACUGUCAAUAACUCUAGUUUAGCUUUCUUUUUGUUGGUACAAUGCUCCGAUAAUUAACCGAACCAUGGACCACAUAAGUUCACGGCCCCAAACCCUGCAGGUCGAAACGGACAAGGAACCGGGAGACUCGGCGUAGUAUAAAUACCCGCCCUGGAUCGGACCACAUGGGAGGAAGAGUUGAAAUCAUAAAGAAAAUCUCACUUGUAACUGAAGAAUACCACGUACUUGUACCAAAGGGAUCGGAAACGUU
rnacentral:lncRNA from 1 species